AGCGAACGCUGGCGGCAGGCUUAACACAUGCAAGUCGAACGCCCCGCAAGGGGAGUGGCAGACGGGUGAGUAACACGUGGGAACGUACCCUUUGGUUCGGAAUAACUUGGGGAAACUCAAGCUAAUACCGGAUAAGCCCUUAUGGGGAAAGGUUUACUGCCGAAGGAUCGGCCCGCGUCUGAUUAGCUAGUUGGUGAGGUAACGGCUCACCAAGGCGACGAUCAGUAGCUGGUCUGAGAGGAUGAUCAGCCACACUGGGACUGAGACACGGCCCAGGUUCCUACGGGAGGCAGCAGUGGGGAAUAUUGGACAAGGGGGGCAACCCUGAUCCAGCCAUGCCGCGUGAGUGAUGAAGGCCUUAGGGUUGUAAAGCUCUUUUACCCGGGACGAUAAUGACUGUACCGGGAGAAUAAGCCCCGGCUAACUUCGUGCCAGCAGCCGCGGUAA
rnacentral:rRNA from 1 species